CACUAUUGGAUGAGCCUGCGUUGGAUUAGCUAGUUGGUGGGGUAAAGGCCUACCAAGGCGACGAUCCAUAGCUGGUCUGAGAGGAUGAUCAGCCACACUGGGACUGAGACACGGCCCAG
rnacentral:rRNA from 1 species